rnacentral:misc_RNA from 1 species
CUGAAAUCUGUUGCGUUACUGCUUUGGAUUACUUUGGUUUUAGCUCUUAGAUCCGAGGUUGGCCUCGAAUCGAUUUUUCUGUUUUUUUUUUCUUAAAAAAAAAAGAGAAAAAUUGGUGGGUUUAGGGUUUUAUAGGCGUGGAAUUAGGGUUUGAAUUUGGAUUCUUUAUUGUGACGUUUGAUAUUUUUGUUGUAACAUAUGGCGGCUGGGAGACAUGGGGGUUAUCGCGAUAACGAGAUACGCGGGCGUGAGUCCAAUAGUGAAUAUUCUAGGAGGGAUUUUGCUUAUUCAAAGGAGGAGUAUGAUCGGUUUGGGAAUGGUAAUCGUGAAAAUCAAAGGGGUAGAGUUCGUGACAUAAGAGAUAGGGGUAGGGUUAGACAGAAGGAUAUUAAGGAGAGAGAAGUGGUUAAUGGUGGUUAUCGGUCCUCUUCUAGUAGGAGUGAUUCAGGCAGUGAUGGUGGUACACGUGGAUCCAAGAGAUACGAGUUUACUGGCAGGGCCAUGGAUCGAGAGCCAGGUGAAUUGUCUAGUGAAAGUGGGUCUGAUGAUGCGAUAGAGUCUGAAUCACUGUUCAAUAAAGAUAUUGAGGUUUCAAAGGUAGUAGAGAAUGGCAUACGGACUCCUGUGGAGAAGAAGAGGAAGUUUUCUCCUAUAGUUUGGGAUAGGGAUGACAGAGAAGUGAGUAAUUCUUCAAAAAGUAGGAUUUCUCCAGCGGUGACUACUCUUCCUCCACCACCACCCCUCCCUAGGGCAUACGGCCAGUCACCAAAUGUUAUUCCAGAUGGAGGUGUAGAGAUAUCUCCCAUUAAGAGUAGUGAAAAUCAGAACUUGGAGUCAUCUUCUCCCAUCAAAGAUCCAGUGGCUAAAGGGCCAAUUGGGUAUUCUGCAUCUGAGUCUCCAGUAGGGUUGGCUGCUUUGCCUCUAGAGGAUCAACGGUUGGGUAAUGAUCAUGAAGCUGAACUGGCAGAAGAUGAUGAUUAUGUACCUACCCGUAAUAUAUCAUCUUCUAGAUGGGCUGCUGGGAACAAUUCUCCAGUUGAUGAAGGUGAAAUUGUAGAGGAUCAGGAAAUGCCUAAAAGGAGGAAGAAGAUGCCUCAUUUGGAGUCCUUGGAUUUCAGAACACACAAUAGUUCAUUGACUCCUGACCUUGGAGACCUUAAGAGAGAUGGUUCAGAUCGAGCUAGAGGGAGGACGACGACUGACUCUGAGGAGCGAGACAUUCUUACUAGGUCUUUGAGUGGGGAUGAUUAUCCUGGUAAUGAUACAGACAAGGAUGAAUACAUGGAGAUUGAUGAUGAACGGGAUGAAAAUGAUGGUAGCAAUGAACAUUCUGAUGCAGAUUCUGAGAAUGAAAAUGAUUAUCUUGAAGCACCAGAAUCUGUAGCUCCUCAAAGAAGUAUAAACAUGCUUCUGGGGUGUAGAAGUGUAGAUGAAUUUGAGAGACUAAAUAAGAUAGAUGAAGGCACUUACGGAGUUGUAUAUAGGGCUAGAGAUAAGAAGAAUGGGGAAAUUGUCGCAUUGAAGAAGGUAAAGAUGGAGAAGGAACGAGAGGGCUUUCCCCUGACAUCUUUGAGGGAAAUAAACAUUCUUCUCUCUUUUCAUCACCCUUCAAUUGUUGAUGUAAAAGAAGUUGUGGUAGGGAGUAACCUUGAUAGCAUAUAUAUGGUGAUGGAAUAUAUGGAGCAUGAUCUCAAGGGUCUCAUGGAGUCGAUGAAGCAGCCAUUUAGUCAGAGUGAAGUUAAAUGCUUAAUGCUCCAGUUAUUGGAAGGUGUCAAGUAUCUCCAUGAUAACUGGGUCCUUCAUCGAGAUUUAAAGACAUCAAAUUUGCUUUUGAAUAAUAGGGGUGAGUUGAAGAUCUGUGACUUUGGGUUGGCUCGUCAGUAUGGGAGUCCAUUGAAACCAUAUACUCAUUUGGU